rnacentral:rRNA from 1 species
CCUACGCGCGGCAGCAGUGAGGAAUAUUUGUCAAUGGCCGAGAGGCUGAACCAGCCAAGUCGCGUGAGGGAAGAAUGUCCUAUGGAUUGUAAACCUCUUUUGUCAGGGAGCAAAGUCACCCACGUGUGGGUGUUGGAGAGUACCUGAAGAAAAAGCAUCGGCUAACUCCGUGCCAGCAGCCGCGGUAAUACGGGGGAGGCGAGCGUUAUCCGGAUGUAUUGGGUUUAAGGUGUGCGUAGGCGGGUUAUCAAGUCAGCGGUAAAAUCGUGGAGACAAACUCCAUCCAGCAGUUGAAACUGAUGAUCUUGAGUGGGCGAGAAGGAUGCGGAAUGCGUGGUGUAGCAGUGAAAUGCGUAGAUAUCAAGCAGAAC